AAUGCAGAACUAAGGUGCAAAUAACUUUUCCACGUUCUUCACGACAUUCUUGGGUGAGGACGACAGACCGGACAAAGACUCCUGUUGUCUAUGCUUAUAAAGAACGGCAUUUAUAUUGAUCUAUCGCUGCCUAUUAAAGACUAUCAUAAUGAUGGUAAUAAUAAUAAUUUGGUAAUAUGACCAUUUCGAAGAAAAUCAAGGUGGGCGCGUGAAGACAAUAAAAGGGAAAGGAGCGAGAAAAGGAGGAGGUGGAGGCAUACGCCCAGUUUGCAGUGUCUGAGAGACUCCCCACUCAUAGUCAUACACAUUACGGGACAUUGUGUGAAUUAGUGUGGGGGCGUGUGUGUGUGCCUGUAUGAGUGAAGUGUAGAGACAUGAGACAACACACAGCCAACCACAGAUUACAGCCUGUGUCUCAGUCAGCGGACAGUCGUUUUGGACACAUUCUGCCCUCUGGUGUUUUGGCCUCUUGGAUUAUUCUACACACCCUUUAUUUUCGGUCGACGCCUCUACUUGUGCUGCCUGAAUCACAGUGACGAUAAUUGUUGAGGGACACUACCACCUGGAGACACACCUUAUUCUACCAGACAGUGGCAUCAUUGGUUGAGUCAUACGUACCAAAUCCUGUGAAUGUUCAGAAAUUACAUUUCCCACCCUACAACUGUCUGUCUUCUUCAAUGAUUCAAUAAACUUGUAAUGAGUGUUCAGAUUAUGCUAUUGUUGCACUGGGUCUGGUAAAAAUACAGGCUGUUCUUUGGCACAAACCAUUUAAAAACAAUUAGAACUGUGGAUUCUGGUGCUUGAUUAUCUGCUUUACUUGUAUGAACUGUGUGUGUCGCCUAAAAGUAUCUGCUCAAUAAAAAAUGUAAUUACAAAUAUUUAUGCAUUUUUGUAUGAAUGCAUUCUGUGAAACCAGUCAAGAUUCAAUAAAAAAUGUG